rnacentral:misc_RNA from 1 species
UGUAGGAGCUGGCUUGCCUGCGAUGCAUACGCCACGGUGUAUCAGUCACGCUGCGGUGAUGCUAUCGCAGGCAAGCCAGCUCCCACA